GGUUGAUCCUGCCAGUAGUCAUAUGCUUGUCUCAAAGACUAAGCCAUGCAUGUCUAAGUAUAAACUAUUUAUACGGUGAAACUGCGAAUGGCUCAUUAAAACAGUUAUAGUUUAUUUGAUAGUACCUUACUACUUGGAUAACCGUAGUAAUUCUAGAGCUAAUACAUGCGCAAAAACCCGACUUUUCGGAAGGGUUGUAUUUAUUAGAUAAAAAACCAAUCCACUUCGGUGGUUUGUGGUGAUUCAUAAUAACUGAUCGAAUCGCAGAGCCUCACGGCGGCGAUGAAUCAUU
rnacentral:rRNA from 1 species